CUAGUCCCAAUGCUUUCUGGGAAGUCCUGGGAUCUCUUCGUUGUGCUCUCCAAGCUUGGGAGGCCCAGUGCCUGGUGUGUCCAGUUUGUAUGAUGUUUCUGCCUGGUUUCGGCGUCACUCAUCCCAGCAUCCUGGCCAGAUUUCCAGUAUCAGGAACAAUUUCCCUCCUGUUGAGUGGAUGUUAAGUCCAAUUGGAUGACUGUUGGUUACCAAGAAUAUGUGAUUACCACUUACUGCACCACUAUGCACACCUCUCUACGCUGGAAGAUGUUCCAGGAAUCAAUGAAUAUUGUAUAUUACAUGGCAAAGAGGAUGGACACUGAAAGCUGUGGAUGAAAAGGAACAGGACAGGAGCCUACCCCAAAUGAAAGACUUUCAAGCCAGCAGGGGAUCAAAGCAAAUUCAGAGACUCACACUCAAACUUUGAGCAGAGGGAAGGGUACAAGGACAGAGGGACAAGAGCUCCACAAGGAGACCAACAAAGCCAAAAGGAUUUGGGCCCAGGAGGACCUGCAGAGACUGAUGUAUCAACCAAUGUCGGAACAUGCAGUAAUG